rnacentral:rRNA from 1 species
CCUACGGGAGACAGCAGUAGGGAAUAUUGCUCAAUGGGGGAAACCCUGAAGCAGCAACGCCGCGUGGAGGAUGAAGGUUUUAGGAUUGUAAACUCCUUUUGUUAGAGAAGAUAAUGACGGUAUCUAACGAAUAAGCACCGGCUAACUCCGUGCCAGCAGCCGCGGUAAUACGGAGGGUGCAAGCGUUACUCGGACUCACUGGGCGUAAAGCGCGCGUAGGCGGGAUAGCAAGUCAGAUGUGAAAUCCUAUGGCUUAACCAUAGAACUGCAUUUGAAACUGUUAUUCUAGAGUAUGGGAGAGGUAGGUGGAAUUCGUGGUGUAGGGGUAAAAUCCGUAGAUAUCAAGAAGAAUACUCAUUGCGAAGGCGACCUGCUAGAACAUAACUGACGCUGAUGCGCGAAAGCGUGGGGAGCAAACAGGAUUAGAUACCCCAGUAGUC